GAUGAAGAACGUAGCGAAAUGCGAUACGUAAUGUGAAUUGCAGAAUUCAGUGAAUCAUCGAAUCUUUGAACGCAUAUUGCGCUCUUUGGUAUUCCGAAGAGCAUGCUUGUUUGAGUAUCAGUAAACACCUCAAAGUCUUUUUUUUUUCUUGAAGAAAAAGACCUUGGACUUGAGCAAUCCCAACUCUUCUUUCAGAAGAGGCGGGUUGCUUGAAAUGCAGGUGCAGCUGGACAUUCUCCUGAGCUAAAAGCAUAUUCAUUUAGUCCCGUCAAACGGAUUAUUACUUUUGCUGCAGCUAACAUAAAGGGAGUUUGACCAUUUUGGCUGACUGAUGCAGGAAUUUCACAAGAGUCUUCAAAACGCUCUUGUUAAACUCGAUCUCAAAUCAAGUAAGACUACCCGCUGAACUUAAGCAUACAAUAAGCGGAGGA
rnacentral:misc_RNA from 1 species